AUUGAACGCUGGCGGCAGGCUUAACACAUGCAAGUCGAACGGUAACAUAAAGAAGCUUGCUUCUUUGAUGACGAGUGGCGGACGGGUGAGUAAUGCUUGGGAAUCUAGCUUAUGGAGGGGGAUAACUACGGGAAACUGUAGCUAAUACCGCGUAAUAUCGAAAGAUUAAAGUGUGGGACCUUCGGGCCACAUGCCAUAGGAUGAGCCCAAGUGGGAUUAGGUAGUUGGUGAGGUAAAGGCUCACCAAGCCGACGAUCUCUAGCUGGUCUGAGAGGAUGACCAGCCACACUGGGACUGAGACACGGCCCAGACUCCUACGGGAGGCAGCAGUGGGGAAUAUUGCGCAAUGGGGGCAACCCUGACGCAGCCAUGCCGCGUGAAUGAAGAAGGCCUUCGGGUUGUAAAGUUCUUUCGGUAGUGAGGAAGGCAUUUAGUUUAAUAGACUAGGUGAUUGACGUUAACUACAGAAGAAGCACCGGCUAACUCCGUGC
rnacentral:rRNA from 1 species